rnacentral:lncRNA from 1 species
AUUAAAUAUUCAUAGAAGGGCAAAGGGAUUUAUUUUGUUUUAGAAAGAUUGGGGUUUUUGUUUUGUUUUUUAAGUGAUCAUUUCUUUUUUUUUAACAUUUAUUAUUGAUUUAUUAUUUAUGUGUAUGUCAGAGAACAACUAUUAGGAAUUGGUUCUUUCCUUCCACCAUGUGGGUUCUGGAGAAUGAACUCAGGUUAUCAGGCUUGGUUGCAAGCCCCCUUACCUGGUAAACCAUCUCACAAGUCCAGGAUUAGUUUUAAUUUAAAAAAAGCAGGCACACAAUUGAAAUUAAAUACCAAAUUUCUUCCUAAAAUACCCAAUAGUAAAGAAGGCAUUACUAUAAAAAUCUUCCAGUAUCUUAUGAAAAAAAUGCUGGCUACUGAACCAGGAGCCCAGAAUACAGCUGAGCUUUUUAACUUGAUCUUAUUAGCAAACACUGAAUGCCUGCCAUGUACCCGUGGUGGUUACGUGGACACCAGUAAUUUAGAUUCAGUGUUACUCCUAGGGUAAUGCAUAAUGUCUAGAGAGGGGGGAUGAAGAAUAUUUCUCUUGAUCCACAGUGGUAGUGUGCAUGCUAAAUCUAAUGAGGAAAAGUCCACCUGUUCGUCUAAUGUAGUAAAAUACAUACUGCAUUUAAUGAAUCAUUUUCUUAACAGGAAGAGUAGUGAAGAGGCACAAAAGGAGAGGCGAAGGAUAUCAAAUUUGUUGAACAUAAUGGAACCUAGCCUUCUUCAGUUUUAUAUUUCUCGACAGUGGUUGAAUAAAUUUAAGACCUUUGCUGAACCUGGCCCUAUUUCAAAUAAUGACUUUCUCUGUAUUCAUGGAGGUGUUCCACCACGAAAAGCUAGUUAUAUCGAAGACUUAGUUUUGAUGCUGCCUCAGAACAUUUGGGAUAACCUAUAUAGCAGGUUUGUUUUUGAAAUCCAACAGUCCUUUUAUGAAAAUGAAAGUAGUUAUAGGGAUCUUGUGUUUAGUCACAAAUAGUCAAUGUGUUGCAUGAUGCUUAUGUAGAAUAUUCCCUUUCAUUGUUCAUUCCGAAAUGUGAGUAGGAAGACUGUAGUGGGGCUC